rnacentral:lncRNA from 10 species
GUUCCUUCUUAGACAUUUUAUUCAUGAAUGUUCUAUCUCUCUGAAGAUGUUUAGCAUUUUUUAUUUUUUUUGUAAUAUCUUUGUUUCUUCCAAGUUGCUUUUUCCUACUGUUUUUCAUCUCUGAAUUUAAUGUUAAGAGGUUUUGGUAAAAAACAUGGUGAUGUUGGCUGGGCAUGGUGGCUCAUGCCUGUAAUCCCAGCACUUUGGAAGGCUGAGGCAGGAGGAUCCUUGAGCCCAGGAGUUUGAGUCUGCAGCAAGCUAUGAUUGUGCCAGCCUAGGUGAAAGAGCAAAGCCCUGUUCUCCAAAAAGAAAAUUCCCUAACAAAAUGUCUAUAGUCUAUAUAUUGCCUAAAUCACUUUUAAUCUGUAACAAAAUAUUAUCCUUCAGUCUCUGUUUAGAAAAGCUCAGCAAAUUCUGUAAAUAAGAUAGUCUCUGUUCAAUAUGUCAAU